UUGGAGGGCAAGUCUGGUGCCAGCAGCCGCGGUAAUUCCAGCUCCAAUAGCGUAUAUUAAAGUUGUUGCAGUUAAAAAGCUCGUAGUUGAAUUUCGGAAUCUGUCCGUCGGUCGGGCUUCACUGUCCGUACUGGUGCGAUGGGUUUCUACCUUCUGAAUAAUCGGCAUGUCAUUAAUUUGGUGCGCCGGGGAAGCAGAACUAUUACCUUGAAAAAAUUAGAGUGCUUAAAGCAGGCUAUCGCCUGAAUAGAUUAGCAUGGAAUAAUAAAAUAGGACGGCAUGGUUCUAUUUUGUUGGUUUCUAGGAUCACCGUAAUGAUUAAUAGGGAUAGUUGGGGGCAUUAGUAUUCAAUUGUCAGAGGUGAAAUUCUUGGAUUUAUUGAAGACUAACUUCUGCGAAAGCAUUUGCCAAGGAUGUUUUCAUUAAUCAAGAACGAAAGUUAGGGGAUCGAAGACGAUCAGAUACCGUCGUAGUCUUAACCAUAAACUAUGCCGACUAGGAAUCGGGCGUCGUUAUUUUAAUGACUCGCUCGGCGCCUUACGGGAAAC
rnacentral:rRNA from 1 species